GAAGCAGCUUGCUGCUUUGCUGACGAGUGGCGGACGGGUGAGUAAUGUCUGGGAAACUGCCUGAUGGAGGGGGAUAACUACUGGAAACGGUAGCUAAUACCGCAUAACGUCGCAAGACCAAAGAGGGGGACCUUCGGGCCUCUUGCCAUCGGAUGUGCCCAGAUGGGAUUAGCUAGUAGGUGGGGUAAAGGCUCACCUAGGCGACGAUCCCUAGCUGGUCUGAGAGGAUGACCAGCCACACUGGAACUGAGACACGGUCCAGACUCCUACGGGAGGCAGCAGUGGGGAAUAUUGCACAAUGGGCGCAAGCCUGAUGCAGCCAUGCCGCGUGUAUGAAGAAGGCCUUCGGGUUGUAAAGUACUUUCAGCGGGGAGGAAGGGAGUAAAGUUAAUACCUUUGCUCAUUGACGUUACCCGCAGAAGAAGCACCGGCUAACUCCGUGCCAGCAGCCGCGGUAAUACGGAGGGUGCAAGCGUUAAUCGGAAUUACUGGGCGUAAAGCGCACGCAGGCGGUUUGUUAAGUCAGAUGUGAAAUCCCCGGGCUCAACCUGGGAGCUGCAUCUGAUACUGGCAAGCUUGAGUCUCGUAGAGGGGGGUAGAAUUCCAGGUGUAGCGGUGAAAUGCGUAGAGAUCUGGAGGAAUACCGGUGGCGAA
rnacentral:rRNA from 1 species